rnacentral:rRNA from 1 species
UACGUAGGGGGCUAGCGUUGUUCGGAAUCAUUGGGCGUAAAGCGCACGUAGGCGGCUUGUUAAGUCGGGGGUGAAAUCCUGAGGCUCAACCUCAGAACUGCCUUCGAUACUGGCAAUCUCGAGUCCGGAAGAGGUUGGUGGAACAGCUAGUGUAGAGGUGAAAUUCGUAGAUAUUCGCAAGAACACCAGUGGCGAAGGCGGCUCACUGGCCCGGUACUGACGCUGAGGUGCGAAAGCGUGGGGAGCAAACGGG